CGGGUUAUGGCUGAGUGGUUAAAGCGCUUUCUUUGGGAGAAAGAUUUCCUAUGUUCGAUUCAUAGUAACCCGA
rnacentral:tRNA from 1 species